rnacentral:rRNA from 1 species
GACGAACGCUGGCGGCGUGCUUAACACAUGCAAGUCGAACGAAGUGGCGAACGGGUGAGUAACGCGUAAUCAACCUGCCCUUCAGAGGGGGACACCAGUUGAAAACGACUGCUAAUACCGCAUACUGAAGGAGUGGAUUGCGUCUGAUUAGCUAGUUGGAGGGGUAAAGGCCCACCAAGGCGAUGAUCAGUAGCCGGUCCGAGAGGAUGAACGGCCAAAUUGGGACUGGGACACGGCCCAGACUCCUACGGGGGGGAGCAGUGGGGAAUCUUUCGCAAUGGACGAAAGUCUGACGGAGCAACGCCGCGUGAGUGAUGAAGGGCUUCGGGUUGUAAAGCUCUGUUAAGCGGGACGCGGUACCGGAAUAGAAAGCCACGGCUAACUACGUGCCAGCAGCCGCGGUAAUUC